rnacentral:miRNA from 1 species
UGGUUGGAUCGAUCUGCAAACA